UUUGAGGCCCCAGGCAAAGUAUCUCAUUGACCACUGGCGAUUUGUGGGCGUUGCCCAUUAGGGCUGUCGCCGACCCUCUCUAUCACAAGGCUUCUUACAUACAGGUGGUCGAAGGUGAAGGGUGGUCAGGCAGUUAGUGAAAACCCUGUUGAUCCUGUCUACGUAGAUGUGUCAACACACUGAUCAUCAACGCAACGCGGUUUGAUCGAGAGCCGGCAUUCCUGGAUAUCCUGGGCAAAUACAGCUGUCUGGUGUCGAUUGGACUGGAGAAAGGCGAAGGCGAUUUGGUCAUCUAUACGGAGAUCUCGUCUAAUGAGGAAGAAGCAAUUCUCUUAGCACCGUGUCCAGACGAUAAAUACGGACCUACGUGUCAGAACACAUGUAACUGUUCGAACAGAGGGUCAGCCAUCUGUGACAAGACGACUGGGGCAUGUAUAGGCAUGUAUAACUCCGGCUAUACUGGACAGGACUGUCAGCCAACAACAGGCCUACUGAUAUGCUUCAUUGUGUCAGUUGUAAACCGAUGGAGACUUCACUGUUAACUCAGGGAAGAGAUACAAGCUCGAUACGUCGCCUACAAGGUAAAACCAACAGAGGACGAGUAGAAUGGUGUCUACGAUGAGAUGGGGGAUACCUCUGGGUUAAGGAGUGCCGGUGAAUACGAGAAUGUGGGGGAUA